UUUUGCGGUCUGAAGAGAUAUCGCGAGAUUACACGAGACUACCUAGAUAGCAAACGCCAGAGCCUGGAGCGGAUCUGAGUUACCAUGGAAACGGGGAAACGUCAAGCAGCAAGACUCCGUCUCGCUGUUGUUUUCACUGAUUUUAGGGGCGACAGAAAACCCCCUCUACAACAAAGGGGAAGCUGACAGAGAAGGAGGAAACACAGUUAAGAAGUCUUUGACAUCCAAAUAUCCUUCCAUGCUGAUGGCCUCCUGCACCCCAGCAGAGCUGAGCGACCUCCUGUCAAAGCCUAUGAACCAGAUGACUAUAUUAUGUUUGCUAGUGAGACAGAUGUCAUACUGUUCCACUCAAAGAUGCUGACUGUGGUUCAGGGGGUUGACAACUUUAAGCAUAUGAGAUGUAAUCUCAUGAGAUGGUGCUGAGAUUCUUCAGGACAAGGCCUUGAUGCCAUUCACACUCAGUACAUGAAGAUGAUUCACCAAACAUCUGGCUGAUUACUGGCAAUUUGCAGUAAAGACAGUGGACAAGUGAAGAGAGUGGAGGGGACGGCAUCAGAAAGGACCUUGAGCUACGACUGUCUUGGAUCACCCAAACCACAACUACACUAUGUGUCCAAGCACUGAACAAGGCUUUUCUCCUUAAAUAUUAAAUGUAUUUAAUUUAAGGCAGGGUUUUAUUUUUCCUGCAUAGUGAAUUACUAGGUGGCUGCCUCUGUCAAAUCUAAUGCUGUCUCCAGCUAUUAACAAAACUCAGGCAGGCAGUCACAUGCUCCCAUACCCCUUUUCCACCAUCAUGGUUCUGUUGCAGGCUCCCGGCCCGUGUCCAUUCUCAAACUGUUCUACACACCUCCACUGCACAAAAGGCAGUUCCAGGUCAGAAAUAUCGGUACCCUCCCUCUUCGACAUCCUUCGCCAGUCAUCACAUUCACAACCACCACAGUCAACGCAAGUCAAGGUCCCUGGUCCACAGCAUCAACCAUCUUUGUAGGAAGAUGAAUACUGCAUUUCUUGAUUUAUCUUUAAAAUUUACAGUUUUCUUAUGGAGUGCAAUCCCUCUCUAGACGGACUGAGGUCUAUCGGUCUUACAAAAAGACACUGCAUAUGAUGUUCUCAAAAUAAAAUAAAAAAAUAAUUAAAAUAUUUAAGAAUU